rnacentral:rRNA from 1 species
AAACCAACAGGGAUUGCCUUAGUAGCGGCGAGUGAAGCGGCAAAAGCUCAAAUUUGAAAUCUGGCACUUUCAGUGUCCGAGUUGUAAUUUGAAGAAGGUAUCUUUGGGUCUGGCUCUUGUCUAUGUUUCUUGGAACAGAACGUCACAGAGGGUGAGAAUCCCGUGCGAUGAGAUGUCCCAGACCUAUGUAAAGUUCCUUCGAAGAGUCGAGUUGUUUGGGAAUGCAGCUCUAAGUGGGUGGUAAAUUCCAUCUAAAGCUAAAUAUUGGCGAGAGACCGAUAGCGAACAAGUACAGUGAUGGAAAGAUGAAAAGAACUUUGAAAAGAGAGUGAAAAAGUACGUGAAAUUGUUGAAAGGGAAGGGCUUGAGAUCAGACUUGGUAUUUUGUAUGUUACUCUCUCGGGGGUGGCCUCUACAGUUUACCGGGCCAGCAUCAGUUUGAGCGGUAGGAUAAGUGCAAAGAAAUGUGGCACUGCUUCGGUAGUGUGUUAUAGUCUUUGUCGAUACUGCCAGCUUAGACUGAGGACUGC